AGAAAUUCCUCCAUGUUGCAAGAAAUUGCAUAUGUGCCAACUUCAUUGGCUGAUAUCUAAGUUAAUGAAGGUGGAAUUACAUAUAAUACCUACUGAGCUCUUUGUCCAAUUUUUUGUUGGGAGGCUGUGCAUAUUUAUUAAUUGGUAUCCUUUUUUUUUGGUAGCAUUAUAUCUGAAUUCAAAUAGUUGAUAAACAAUUAGUUAUAGAAUUUAGUUUUUCAAAUCAAAUCUUGCAACAUAUGACCUUUGAAUUGAUGUAACCAGGUCUGGCAAACAAAUAACUGGAUCUAUAAACUUUCUUGCUUUGGCUGUUUAAGAAAUAUUGUCUUCCUACAAUUUAUCAUUCUAAGUGAAAGUCUGAAUUUAGUUUUUCAAAUCAAUUUCUGUGGCUUGUGACCUUCAAAUUGACAUGCCUGGGGGUGGCAAACAAAUUAUUCUGCCGGAAUCUUAAAUGGACAGUGGACCAAGAAAUUUUCAUGCUUAAGCUGUUAAAGAAAUGUUCCUCCAUCCUUCUGUUUAUCAUUCCAAGAAAAACUCACAAUUUAGUUUUUUAAACAACUUUUUUGUGAUUUGUGAGUGGUGACCUUUGGUGUGAUGUACCCUCGGUGAGCUUGGCCAAAAAAUAGCCAUACAGGCUGUAGUCUUGAAAGAACAGUGGAUCCAGAAAUUUUCAUGGUUUAGCUCUUAAAAGAAAAUUUCCAUCAUCCUAUUGUUUAUCGUACCAAGAAAAGCUCUACCAUUUUUAUUCUUUCCUUUUUAUGAGAAAUUGAGAAUACCCUCAGGAGGCUUUUAAUAAUGUCUUGUGUAGGGAUAUCCGAUUAGUGAAUUG
rnacentral:misc_RNA from 1 species